rnacentral:rRNA from 1 species
UCUACGGGAGGCAGCAGUGAGGAAUAUUGGUCAAUGGGCGCGAGCCUGAACCAGCCAAGUAGCGUGAAGGAUGACUGCCCUACGGGUUGUAAACUUCUUUUAUAAAGGAAUAAAGUGAGGCACGUGUGCCUUUUUGUAUGUACUUUAUGAAUAAGGAUCGGCUAACUCCGUGCCAGCAGCCGCGGUAAUACGGAGGAUCCGAUCGUUAUCCGGAUUUAUGGGGUUUAAAGUGAACGUAGAUGGGUUGUUAAGUCAGUUGUGAAAGUUUGCGGCGCAACCGUAAAAUUGCAAUUGAUACUGGCAGCCUUGAGUACAGUUGAGGUAGGCGGAAUUCGUGGUGUAGCGGUGAAAUGCUUAGAUAUCACGAAGAACUCCGAUUGCGAAGGCAGCUUACUAAACUGCCACUGACAUUGAUGCUCGAAAGUGUGGGUAUCAAACAGGAUUAGAUACCCGUGUAGUC